GGUCAGGGGUCACUACCCUAACCCGGCUACUACAAGAGUCUCGAUCGUCCUCCAACCUUUCAUCUGUCCCAGGAUUAAGAUUUCACCUGAUGACACGCCCAGAAGUGCGGGAAGGACUGGCCAAGUGGAAGUCUACCACGCGAUGCUCGUGGACUGACUGAGGAGUACCCAGCCCGGAGCGCGCUCAGCCUGUGGCCGGCCUCCUCACCAAGGGGUAGGCAGGUGCCCAGAAUGCUGGAGGAUGCCCGGUAAGGGCACCCGAGUCGCCAGCGGUACCUGUCUGAAGGCGCCCACCCAUCCCCGGAAAUUUCCUAUGCACAUACAAGCUUACUGUUGAAGUCCUCUCAUCCAAUGCACUCAGAACGGGACUGUAAGUCCAGCUGCUGUGUAUCAUCACCUCAGCCCGAUUGGUCCUCGGCCACACUUCACUUCAGCUUCUGAUAGGUCCUGGGCCAAGCUAAGCAGCAUCUAUGAAUCAUUUCACCUCCUGACUGGUCCCGGGCCAAGCCGAGUCACGCAUUCGCCAAGACAGCCCCCAGACUAAGCACAUUCCUUCCCCUUCCGUCCAUAAAAACCUGGACCCCAGCCUCAUGAUGGGCACUCCCGUUCGGGACCCCCUCUCUGCUGGCAGAGAGCUUUCUUCUUUCACCUUAUUAAACUUUCACUCUAACCUCACCUUUGUGUCCGUGCUCCAUAAUCGUCUUGGAGGUGGGACAAGAACUCCAGGUGUUAUCUCAGACAACGAAAGACUGUUUCAAUAAUGUAGUAUAUAAGUGGACAAGAACUCCAGGUGUUAUCUCAGACAACGAAAGACUGUUUCAAUAAUAUAGUAUAUAAG
rnacentral:lncRNA from 1 species